GGAGUAUAACACCAGGAGGUUUCACUUCGCUGAGCAUAUCUCGCCAUCAAGAGAGAGCAAGAGUCUCGCUGAGAGCCAUGAGAAGAUCAGCAAGCUCCAAGCUUGGUGCAAGUUCCAAGACAAGUUCAUUGGUAAGUGUUUCAAGAUGUACAAAUCCAUGCAGAAGAGGGUGAAUCGCUCC
rnacentral:pre_miRNA from 1 species